GACGGACAGCGCCACGGGUCCGGCUAAGACAAGACAGACUCCCUGUCCCGGCCUCUCGCAGCCCUAGGCUGGGAGAAGGCCUGGAGCAAAACCUGGAGAGAGUUUGCAGUAACAGAGUUUCUUUUGUUAAGGAAAUCCUCUAGCAUUCCCACACUACAUAAACAUUUGAACUCGCUUGGCUACGAAGAAGAUAACUGAGGAUGUACUUACGAUCGACAAAUGAAGUGAACAGCAUUCUGAAUCUGCUGAGUCUGCUACCCUCAUCUGCCCACAUCCGUACCACUCCUGUUCCAGUC